rnacentral:rRNA from 1 species
UUGCACGCUGGCGGCAGGCCUAACACCUGCAAGUCGCACGGUAACAGGAAACAGCUUGCUGUUUCGCUGACGAGUGGCGGACGGGUGAGUAAUGUCUGGGAAACUGCCUGAUGGAGGGGGAUAACUACUGGAAACGGUAGCUAAUACCGCAUAACGUCGCAAGACCAAAGAGGGGGACCUUCGGGCCUCUUGCCAUCGGAUGUGCCCAGAUGGGAUUAGCUAGUAGGUGGGGUAACGGCUCACCUAGGCGACGAUCCCUAGCUGGUCUGAGAGGAUGACCAGCCACACUGGAACUGAGACACGGUCCAGACUCCUACGGGAGGCAGCAGUGGGGAAUAUUGCACAAUGGGCGCAAGCCUGAUGCAGCCAUGCCGCGUGUAUGAAGAAGGCCUUCGGGUUGUAAAGUACUUUCAGCGGGGAGGAAGGGAGUAAAGUUAAUACCUUUACUCAUUGACGUUACCCGCAGAAGAAGCACCGGCUAACUCCGUG